CCAGAAGAUGCUGAAUUCCAAACUGUUUCCUAAAGCCUUUCUUCUGGACUCGACAGUUUUCAAAUCUAAAGAACAUAUUGUGUUGUUUGCAAAGGAAAUAUUGUAAUGGCUUCUUAGUUCAUCCAGGAAAAGAGUCUGUCACUAAUGGGCAUUUUGUAAAAUGAAAUCCUUCUAGGGAGAAGGAUAACUGGUCAGAUUUGAAGGUUAAAAAAAAAGGUCUUGACACUGAUCUCGGUUUGCAGAGAAACAAGAAAUUCUGUCUGACUUCUUUUCAGUGGGAGCUAAAAUUUUAACCACCCCGAUUGCACUCACUUAUAUGAAAACGUUAAUGUUAAACAAAUAGGCAGGGAUUUCUUUUAUUAUUAUUUAUAGAGGAGAAUUUUGCCAUCAGGAAACAUGUUGGCUAAUCUGCUUUGGCCAAAUUCUCCUUAGAGACAGUGAUUAAUAGAAGGAAUGAGUGGAAGAUUAGUAUACGCACAAGGCUAUUCAGGAGUGGGGGUAAAAUGUUAAUGCGGUGACCUUUAAAUCUUCAUUUUUCUUUAUUUCCCUGAAUGCUAAUUAAAGGACAUGUUCAGCACCAGGAGGAAUUUGCAUCCAAGUCCGUCUCCCUGCUAAGUGGUAUUUUGAGAAUUCCGAAGCUUAGUCUCAGAGAAGAGCUGACCUGAACUUGCCGAGGCUCCCACUGCAUUGUAGCUUUUCUCUGGAGAACAAAAACUGCCAUUGUCCAGCAGCUCAUUAGCAUGACUGUACAGCCUCCGGAGUUAGCAAGGUGAUGCAAAAAUAAUAUGACAAGAUCCAUGUCUUCAAUGAGCUACAAUCCUACUGGGACAUGAGACUGUGCUUAUAAUAUGAUGAAAGAAUAAGAAAAUUUUAAAGGGGACGCAGACAUUUGUAGCUGCUUCUAGAAGACACUGAGUGGACCCUUUGGGAAGUCACUCUCUGGAGGUGGUGCUGAGAAUGUAAAUGAAGCUUUCCGGCUCCUGGGAAGUUAUAGACUUGUUCUUGGAGGCAAGAGAAGCCACAGACUGGAGCAGCUGAAAAUUUCCCAAGUGAUAGACUGGGGCAAGGGACAGGCAAGGUGGAAGGUACAGCUGUAAUGAGAGAUGCCCCAGGAGGAACAGUUGCCAGAAGACACUGCUGGCAGCCCCUGUGAAGGGGAGCAGCUGGAAACCAGCAUUGGGAGCAGCAUGGAACAGCAUGAAGAGGGGGCUCUGGCUUGGGCUGGCCCCAGCCUGAUUUUCCCUGGGGGGAGGGGAGGGCUGUGCUAAUUAUCUGCUCAAUAUCAAGACGGCACCUGGAAAUAAAUAUUUUGUUGUAAAUAAUAAUGAUAACUAUUUUCAUUAUUAUUCCAUUGACUGAAGAGAGGAAAAGACAAAUCCAAAGCCCACCAAGU
rnacentral:lncRNA from 10 species